rnacentral:rRNA from 1 species
UACGGGGGGGGCAAGCGUUGUUCGGAAUCACUGGGCGUAAAGCGCACGUAGGCGGAUCUUUAAGUCAGGGGUGAAAUCCCGGAGCUCAACUCCGGAACUGCCUUUGAUACUGGGGAUCUUGGAGUCCGGGAGAGGUGAGUGGAACUGCGAGUGUAGAGGUGAAAUUCGUAGAUAUUCGCAAGAACACCAGUGGCGAAGGCGGCUCACUGGCCCGGUACUGACGCUGAGGUGCGAAAGCGUGGGGAGCAAACAGG